rnacentral:rRNA from 1 species
GACGAACGCUGGCGGCGUGCUUAACACAUGCAAGUCGAACGGAAAGGCCCUGCUUUCGUGGGGUGCUCGAGUGGCGAACGGGUGAGUAACACGUGAGUAACCUGCCCUUGACUUUGGGAUAACUUCAGGAAACUGGGGCUAAUACCGGAUAGGAGCUCCUGCUGCAUGGGGGUGGUUGGAAAGUUUCGGCGGUUGUGGAUGGACUCGCGGCUUAUCAGCUUGUUGGUGGGGUAGUGGCUUACCAAGGCUUUGACGGGUAGCCGGCCUGGGAGGGUGACCGGCCACAUUGGGACUGAGAUACGGCCCAGUCGCCUACGGGAGGCAGCAGGGGGGAAUAUUGCACAAUGGGCGGAAGCCUGAGGCAGCAACGCCGCGUGCGGGAUGACGGCCUUCGGGUGGUAAACCGCUUUCGCCUGUGACGAAGCGGGAGUGACGGUAAUGGGUAAAGAAGCACCGGCUAACUACGUG